rnacentral:tRNA from 1 species
GCGUCCGUAGCUCAGCUGGAUAGAGCAUCAGAUUCCGGAUCUGAGGGUCGGAGGUUCGAAUCCUCUCGGACGUA